GACAGAGGGUGCAAACGUUGUUCGGAAUUACUGGGCGUAAAGCGCGUGUAGGCGGCCCUGCAAGUCGGAUGUGAAAUCCCACGGCUCAACCGUGGAAGUGCAUUCGAAACUGCAGGGCUAGAGUCCUGGAGAGGAAGGUGGAAUGCUUGGUGUAGAGGUGAAAUUCGUAGAUAUCAAGCGGAACACCGGUGGCGAAGGCGGCCUUCUGGACAGUGACUGACGCUGAGACGCGAAAGCGUGGGGAGCAAACAGG
rnacentral:rRNA from 3 species